rnacentral:rRNA from 1 species
UACGUAGGGACCAAGCGUUGUUCGGAUUUACUGGGCGUAAAGGGCGCGUAGGCGGCGUGACAAGUCACUUGUGAAAUCUCUGGGCUUAACCCAGAACGGCCAAGUGAAACUGUUGUGCUAGAGUGCAGAAGGGGCAAUCGGAAUUCUCGGUGUAGCGGUGAAAUGCGCAGAUAUCGGGAAGAACACCCGUGGCGAAGGCGGUUCUCUGGGACGGUACUGACGCUGAGACGCGAAAGCGUGGGGAGCAAACAGG